rnacentral:rRNA from 1 species
UACGGAGGAUCCAAGCGUUGUCCGGAUUUAUUGGGUUUAAAGGGUGCGUAGGUGGUUAAUUAAGUCAGGGGUGAAAGCCUGCAGCUCAACUGUAGAACUGCCCUUGAAACUGAUUAUCUUGAAUGUGGUUGAGGUAGGCGGAAUGUGUCAUGUAGCGGUGAAAUGCUUAGAUAUGAUACAGAACACCAAUUGCGAAGGCAGCUUACUAAACCAUUAUUGACACUGAGGCACGAAAGCAUGGGGAGCAAACAGG